AGUGACCGCUGGCGGGAGGCCUAACACAUGCAAGUCGAACGGCAGCGCAGCCAGAGCUUGGUCUUACAGGGGCAGACUUGCGGACGGGUGAGCAACACAUCGCAAUCUACUUAUUCGUCAGGGACAACGUAAGGACACUUACGCCAAUACCGCAUACGACCUACGGGUGACAGCGGGCGACCUUCGGCCCUUGCGGGAUUGAAUGAGCCGAUGUCGGAUUAGCUAGGUGGCGGGGUAAACGCCCACCAAGGCGACGAUCCGUAGCUGGUCUGAGAGGAGGAUCAGCCACACUGGCACUGAGACAUGGACCAGACGCCGACGGGAGGAAGCAGCGGGGAAUAUUGGACAAUGGGCGCAAGCCGGAGCCAGCCAUACCGGGUGGGAGAAGAAGGGCUUCGGGUUGUAAAGUGGGUUUGGAGGGAAAGAAAGGGUGCGGGUUAUUACAGCGCGAUACUGACGGAACCACAAGGAUAAGCACCGGCUAACUCCGGG
rnacentral:rRNA from 1 species